rnacentral:lncRNA from 10 species
UGCUUUUGUCACCUGCCGGUGCUCAAGAGGCUCUCAGCUGAAAGUCAAGGCCAGCUGAAACUCUGAUGCAUGUCUCUGUCCUAUUUCCUGGGAAUCAGUUAUAUUAUCUUCUAUCGAAAUCCUUUUGUUUGCCUUCUGGAUCAACUAAUCCUGAAAGUCCCAAAGGAAAACUAAAGAGAGAACAAAAACUGCAGAAAAGUGAGAAACUUGCCAACUUAGAUUUUUUCCCCUAAACAUUCACUCUGCAUUGGCCUGGGGAAAAGGAUUAGUCACGAACAUGUUUAUUUUUUAUUUUUAAGACAGGGUCUUUCUCUAUUGCCCAGACUGGAGGGCAGUGGUGUGAUCAUAGUCCACUGCAACCUUGAACUCCUAGGAUCAAGGGAUCCUCCCUCCUCAGCCUCCUGAGUAACUUGGGUCUAUAGGCAUGCAGCACCACACCCAGUUAAUUUUGUUUGUUUGUUUUUUGUAGAGACAGAGUCUUGCUAUGUUUCCCAGGCUGGUCUUGAACUCAUGGCCAGCCACGAGUAUCAAGUGAUACUCCUGCCUUGGCCUCCCAAAAUGCUGGGGUUACAGGCAUGCGUCAUUGCUCCUCAUCUUUACUGAUAAUUUUAACCUCUUCUUUCCACAUUUGAGUAUUUGAUCAACCUGGUAUUUAUUUUGGAAGUAUGCAUCUACUUUAACUUUUCAAUAAGAAAAGCCAGCAUCUUUCUCCUAUACCAAGUUUCUAAAUAUACAUAUAUG